UUUUUGUUUUGUAGAGACAGGGCCUCAGCAUGUUUCUCAGGCUGGUCUCAAACUCCUGGGCUCAAGGAGUCCUCCCUCCUCGGACUCCCAAAGUGUUGGGAUUAUAGGCGUGAACCACUGCAUGUGGCCUGUGACAUUGUCUUGAUCUCAGACUGACUUGAGAUUUCCUGGAGGGCCCCUGGAAGACCUCAAAGGAUCUGUCCUGUGACCUUAUAAGAGAGAUGUUAAACUAAUUAGGUUUAUUUCAAUGGUGAAUUUUGUGGGCAGCAAGUCGCCCAGGUGCCGAGGCAAGAGACCGAGGGCACGAGCUGUUCCAGUAUAAUAAAGAAAAUAUAUAAAAUAAGAAUAGUUACAUUAGAUAUAGAUCAUAGAUAUGAUUAUAUAUGAAUAUUGUUAAUCAUUAGUUUGUAGCAAUUACUCUUUAUUCCAAUAUUAUAAUAAUCUUCGCUCUACAAUUAUAACCUAGGAGAAACCAGGCCAUACAGUGAUAAGAGCUGAAGGGACACGGUGAGAAGUGACCAGAAGACAAGCGUGUGAGCCUUCUGUUAUGCCCGGACAGGGCCACUAGAGGGCUCCUUGGUCUAGUGGUAACGUCAGCGCCUGGGAAGACGCCUGUUACUUAGCGGACCUUGGUCUAGCAGUUGCGUCAGUGCCUAGAAAAAGCACCCGUUACUUAGCAGACCGGGAAAGGAAGUCUCCCUUUCCCUGUGGGAGUUAGAGAAGACUCUGCUCAACCACCUCUUGUGGAGUGUCAGGUUUGCCCACAGUUAUCCGGAGGCCUAACCGUCUCCCUGUGAUGCUGUGCUUAAGCAGUCACGCUCCUGGUCCGCUUUCAUGUUCCACCCUGUACCUGGCUAUGCCUUCUAACUAGCAGUAACAAAAUUAGUGAAAGUACUAAAGGUCUCUGAAAUACAGAAAUAAUGACAUAAGCUGUCUCCUCUCGCUGUCCGCCUCGGCUGCCAAACAGGGAAGGGCCCCCGUCCAGUGGACACGUGACCCAUGUGACCUUACCUGUCACUGGAGAUAGCUCACACUCCUUACCCUGCCCCCUUGUCUUGUAUCCAAUAAAUAACAGCGCAGCCUGGCAUUCGGGGCCACUACUGGUCUCCGCAUCUUGGUGGUAGUGGUCCCCGGGCCCAGCUGUCUUUUCUUCUAUCUCUUUGUCUUGUGUCUUUAUUUCUACGAUCUCUCAUCUCUGCACACGGGGAGAAAAACCCACAGACCCUGUAGGGCUGGACCCUACAGAAUUUCAUGCAAG
rnacentral:lncRNA from 1 species